ensembl:snoRNA small nucleolar RNA SNORA81
UCCUUCUUGCCAAAAGCACUCUGCUAAAAUUGUGAAGUCUUGUGGCUAAGCAAUGGUGCUAGUAUGAGUACACCCAAGAAGGAGAUGAUCUGCACAGCAUUGACAAUGAGAUGUGGACGGACCUCUUUCUUAAUGUCCCGUGUCCUUGUCUUGAGAUACUGUGCAACAUGC